UUAAGUGGCGGACGGGUGAGUAACGCGUGGGAACCUGCCUUGCACCGGGGGAUAACACUUAGAAAUAGGUGCUAAUACCGCAUAAGCGCACAGAGCCGCAUGGCUCGGUGUGAAAAACUCCGGUGGUGCAAGAUGGACCCGCGUCUGAUUAGCUGGUUGGCGGGGUAACGGCCCACCAAGGCGACGAUCAGUAGCCGGCCUGAGAGGGUGAACGGCCACAUUGGGACUGAGACACGGCCCAAACUCCUACGGAAGGCAGCAG
rnacentral:rRNA from 1 species